AUUGAACGCUGGCGGCAGGCCUAACACAUGCAAGUCGAACGCGUGGCGGGCGGGUGAGUAAUGCCUAGGAAUCUGCCUGAUAGUGGGGGAUCACGUCCGGAAACUGGCUCUAAUCCCGCAUACUCUCAUAUGCGCCUAGGUGGGAUUAGCUAGUUGGUGGGGUAAAGGCCCACCAAGGCGACGAUCCGUAGCUGGUCUGAGAGGAUGAUCAGCCACACUGGAACUGAGACACGGUCCAGACUCCUACGGGAGGCAGCAGUGGGGAAUAUUGCACAAUGGGCGCAAGCCUGAUGCAGCCAUGCCGCGUGUAUGAAGAAGGCCUUAGGGUUGUAAAGUACUUUCAGCGGGGAGGCGUUACCCGCAGAAGAAGCACCGGCUAACUCCGUGCCAGCAGCCGCGGUAAUUC
rnacentral:rRNA from 1 species